GGAGAUAUAGCUCAGUGGUAGAGCGCUUGCCUAGCAUGUGCAAGGCCCUGGGUUCAAUUCCCAGUCCA
rnacentral:tRNA from 2 species